UACCUACCAUUAAAUAUAUUAUUUAUGCAAUAACUCAGAGCUCAUAUAUAUCUCUCUCUCUAUACUAGACAACACCUUGUGUCUGGCAGAUUGAAUUCAUGGUUAUUGAGGCUUGAAUUACGAAAUUGGAGAUACAACAAGGAAAUAAAAGUUGGUUUAGAAGAUGGCUCAUAAUGACAUUGACAAUGUGUUAGAUCAGCUAAGAUGGAUCAAGGGUGGAGGUGAUUUGGAUGGAAUCAG